UUACUAUCGAGGUACCUAUACAUCAGGGAUAUAAUUUAUGUGUGUUCUCCAAGUGUCCGGUGAAAUGAUUCAUCGGUUGCACUAAGAGUUAGGUGGAAAGCACAUGAAUCAAAUUAGUUGUCAGACUGAUACUUCGGCCCAGAUGCAUUUUUUGGGAGUUUAUAGAGAUGAGACUUGUCCUGAUGCAACUUCUUGCUAAUAUGGUUACCAUUUUGCAGGUCAAAUUUCCUUGUGCUACAUCUUGAACUCGAUAGUAUUUAUGUAUGGGAUUUUAUACUGCCUCAAUUAAUCUAUGGCGAUCCUGUACAUGGAUUUUAUACACUAUGUCAACACAAUUAUUCAUUAGAAAGCCCGUGCUACAUCUGGUUCAAGAUUCUGUGGUGGGGAUGCUAUUCAGGAAUGUAGUUCACAUCCUGAAAUUUGAUUCGCUGCUUGGAAUCAAUGGUCUUCCAAUUGAUAUCCGGAAAUAAAGAUGACGUGUCUUUACUAUUCCUCAGAUCCAAUUGAGGACCUUAGGAAGGUAUGCACAUUCUAUCAGUAAGCUAAAUCUAUAACUAUGGUCUAUGUUACACGCUUCAAUUUGCACUUGGAGAUUUAUCGAACUCUCUGAACUAAGCUCUGAUCCAAGGUAACACUUACACACAAAAAAUCUGGUGGAACGUCCAAAAUCCCAUGGGAAGUUUAUUGCUCUUCAUGUGCGAUAUGAAAAAAAAGUGCUGGCAUUGACAGGCUGCACUUGUGUCUGAGUGAAUAAGAAGCAGAUGAAUUCAGAAUCAUGAGAUUUUAGUUUGUUACAGAGGGUUUCCUCAGAUGUUACUAAGGGACCUUCGGAUUAUUCAUUGUUUUCAAGGGCCAACAACCACACCGAGAUUUUGGAAAGGAUUUAUAAGGAAAGAUUUUAGAACCAAGUUCAAUUGUUUCUACUGGAUAUAUUGGUGGUAUGAUAAUUCAGUAUACUUGUAAUGACACCUUCAGAGUAUGAAAGGUAAAUAUUCUUAUAUAUGCAUUUGGAAGGUAAGCUUGUUCACAUAAAAAAAAACCUCCUUUGUAAGAACAAUUAUACAAAAUUAUUACUGAAUUUCUUUUCUCCUGGUUUGUCAAAAGCAACUAAUUUUUACCACCAAUAUAUCAAACUGCUUGAUAGAUAGUUUACAUUAUGUGUUUCAUCCAUCUGUACAGUGAAUAGCACAACAGUUGCUGCGUGAUUGUUGUUGUCAAAUUAGGAAGUUAUAAUGUAUUUUUAUUUUAUUAGUGACAUAAUGCUUUGAGUUCUCACGUUUUCAUUUUCCACAAUUACAAUCCUUUAGUGUUUACUUCUAUAAUAUAUAUUAACUUUAACAUGAGUUCAAGUUCGUCAACUUUAUUGGUUUUAGCGAACAAUUUUGGGCCAUGAUACCACUCAUCAAUUUUUGUAACCUACUGAGCUUCAAUGCAGUACUCCAUUCCGGAUGGCUCAAAAAUUACGAAGCUGCUAUUGUAUCCAUGAAAUAUACAAUAUGUUUUCCUUAUUUAACUUACUGGCUUAUUUUUGUGGCAUUUUUUCUUUCAGAUUUUCCUCUACCAUUUAUGUAGCAAGUACAAGGUCUCACCAUGUUGAAGACUCCGUCCAAUGUUGAAGACGGCUUCUAAUGCUUUCAUUUCCAUUAUCAUUUUAUCAAUUGUAUUUCAUGUCCAAGCUCAAGGACUUAUGAAUGUUGACGGUUAAAUUAUUUAUAUAUUUUAUUUUAAGAUGAAUCAAAGAAAGUAUGGAGCGUAGCUAGAUGAAUGUGGUACUGGAUUGCCAUUCUAAUGCACAACAAUGAAUGUUGACUAAGGUACCAACGCUCUUUUGAUCUUCAUUAUAAGAUAUGUAAUAUAUUUAUGAUAAAUCUAUACUAUUAUCCAAAUCGCGCAUUGCGCGUGCACCUUU